rnacentral:rRNA from 1 species
AUUGAACGCUGGCGGCAGGCCUAACACAUGCAAGUCGAGCGGAUGACGGGAGCUUGCUCCUUGAUUCAGCGGCGGACGGGUGAGUAAUACCUAGGAAUCUGCCUGAUAGUGGGGGACAACGUUUCGAAAGGAACGCUAAUACCGCAUACGUCCUACGGGAGAAAGCAGGGGACCUUCGGGCCUUGCGCUAUCAGAUGAGCCUAGGUCGGAUUAGCUAGUUGGUGAGGUAAUGGCUCACCGAGGCGACGAGCCGUAACUGGUCUGAGAGGAUGAUCAGUCACACUGGAACUGAGAAACGGUCCAGACUGCUACGGGAGGCAGCAGUGGGGAAUAUUGGACAAUGGGCGAAAGCCUGAUCCAGCCAUGCCGCGUGUGUGAAGAAGGUCUUCGGAUUGUAAAGCACUUUAAGUUGGGAGGAAGGGCAGUAAGCUAAUACCUUGCUGUUUUGACGUUACCGACAGAAUAAGCACCGGCUAACUCUGUGCCAGCCGCCGCAGUAA